rnacentral:rRNA from 1 species
GGUGAACGCUGGCGGCGUGCUUAAGACAUGCAAGCCGAACGGCAGUCUUCGGACUGUAGUGGCGCACGGGUGAGUAACGCGUAACUGACCUACCCCAAAGUCGCGGAUAACGAUUCGAAAGAAUCGCUAAUACGUGAUGUGCUGUCAGAUUGUGUUCUGCCAGUAAAGAUUGAUUGCUUUGGGAUGGGGUUGCGUUCCAUCAGCUAGUUGGUGGGGUAAAGGCCCACCAAGGCGACGACGGAUAGCCGGCCUGGGAGGGUGGCCGGCCACAGGGGCACUGAGACACGGGUCCCACUCCUACGGGAGGCAGCAGUUAGGAAUCUUCCACAAUGGGCGAAAGCCUGAUGGAGCGACGCCGCGUGAGGGAUGAAGGUCUUCGGAUCGUAAACCUCUGAAUCAGGGACGAAAGACACUUCGGUGGGAUGACGGUACCUGAGUAAUAGCACCGGCUAACUCCGUGCCAGCCGCCGCAGUAACAC